rnacentral:rRNA from 1 species
GACGAACGCUGGCGGCGUGCUUAACACAUGCAAGUCGAACGGAAAGGCCUUUUCGGCGGUACUCGAGUGGCGAACGGGUGAGUAACACGUGGGUGAUCUGCCCUGCACUCUGGGAUAAGCCUGGGAAACUGGGUCUAAUACCGGAUAGGACCGCACUUUAGUGUGUGUGGUGGAAAGUUUUUUCGGUGUAGGAUGAGCCCGCGGCCUAUCAGCUUGUUGGUGGGGUAAUGGCCUACCAAGGCGGCGACGGGUAGCGGGACUGAGAGGUUGGUCGGCCACAUUGGGACUGGGAGACGGCCCAGACUCCUACGGGAGGCAGCAGUGGGGAAUAUUGCACAAUGGGCGCAAGCCUGAUGCAGCUACGCCGCGUGGGGGAUGACGGCCUUCGGGUUGUAAACUCCUUUCGCCAGGGACGAAGCGUUUUGUGACGGUACCUGGAGAAGAAGCACCGGCUAACUACGUG